rnacentral:rRNA from 1 species
GUAGGUGGCAAGCGUUGUCCGGAUUUACUGGGCGUAAAGCGCGCGCAGGCGGGCUCGCCAAGUCUGGGGGGGUGAAAUCUCCCGGGCUCAACCGGGAUAGGUCUCCAGAUACUGGCAGGCUUGAGGGGAGCAGAGGAGAGCGGAAUCCUCGGUGUAGCGGUGAUAUGCGUAGAUAUCGAGAGGAACACCAGUGGCGAAGGCGGCUCUCUGGGCUCCAUCUGACGCUGAGGCGCGAAAGCGUGGGGAGCGAACCGGAUUAGAUACCCGGGUAGUCCACGCUGUAAACGUUGGGCACUAGGUGUGGGGGGUAUUGACCCCCUCCGUGCCGUAGUUAACGCGAUAAGUGCCCCGCCUGGGGAGUACGGCCGCAAGGCUA